rnacentral:rRNA from 1 species
AACCAGACUCCUACGGGAGGCAGCAGUGGGGGAUAUUGCACAAUGGGGGAAACCCUGAUGCAGCGACGCCGCGUGUGGGAAGACGGUCCUCUGGAUUGUAAACCACUGUCCCCAGGGACGAAAAUGACGGUACCUGGGGAGGAAGCUCCGGCUAACUACGUGCCAGCAGCCGCGGUAAUACGUAGGGAGCGAGCGUUGUCCGGAAUUACUGGGUGUAAAGGGAGCGUAGGCGGGGAUGCAAGUUGGGUGCCAAAACUACCGGCUCAACUGGUAGUCGCACUCAAAACUGCAGCUCUUGAGUGAUGGAGAGGCAGGCGGAAUUCCGUGUGUAGCGGUGAAAUGCGUAGAUAUACGGAGGAACACCAGUGGCGAAGGCGGCCUGCUGGACAUUAACUGACGCUGAGGCGCGAAAGCGUGGGGAGCAAACAGGAUUAGAUACCCCCGUAC